UAUCCCAAAAAGUGUCAGCUCCCACCAGUCAUAAGUGCCAUCACACCCAACUCGGUGCAUCGGGCGGCGGUGACGGUAGCAUCCCUAGCAUCACUCCACCACGCUGGACAUGAACAAACAAAAACUCCUAGAUAACCGGGCCAUCAGCAAGACCCACAUCGUACAUCACCAAGACACGAACUCAGACAUACACCAGACUAGGUACACUAAUACAGGAAUGCUUUGUGCACUCCACCUCGACAUCAGAUGGCAAUCCAUAAUAAGUACCGCGUGCGACUGGUAGCAAAUGCAUCUUUCUAAU
rnacentral:lncRNA from 1 species